rnacentral:rRNA from 1 species
GCCUAAUACAUGCAAGUCGAACGAUGAAGCUUCUAGCUUGCUAGAAGUGGAUUAGUGGCGCACGGGUGAGUAAGGUAUAGUUAAUCUGCCCUACACAAGAGGACAACAGUUGGAAACGACUGCUAAUACUCUAUACUCCUGCUUAACACAAGUUGAGUAGGGAAAGUUUUUCGGUGUAGGAUGAGACUAUAUAGUAUCAGCUAGUUGGUGAGGUAAUGGCUCACCAAGGCUAUGACGCUUAACUGGUCUGAGAGGAUGAUCAGUCACACUGGAACUGAGACACGGUCCAGACUCCUACGGGAGGCAGCAGUAGGGAAUAUUGCGCAAUGGGGGAAACCCUGACGCAGCAACGCCGCGUGGAGGAUGACACUUUUCGGAGCGUAAACUCCUUUUCUUAGGGAAGAAUUCUGACGGUACCUAAGGAAUAAGCACCGGCUAACUCCGUGCCAGCAGCCGCGGUAAUACGGAGGGUGCAAGCGUUACUCGGAAUCACUGGGCGUAAAGGGCGCGUAGGCGGAUUAUCAAGUCUCUUGUGAAAUCUAAUGGCUUAACCAUUAAACUGCUUGGGAAACUGAUAGUCUAGAGUGAGGGAGAGGCAGAUGGAAUUGGUGGUGUAGGGGUAAAAUCCGUAGAUAUCACCAAGAAUACCCAUUGCGAAGGCGAUCUGCUGGAACUCAACUGACGCUAAGGCGCGAAAGCGUGGGGAGCAAACAGGAUUAGAUACCCUGGUAGUCCACGCCCUAAACGAUGUACACUAGUUGUUGGGGUGCUAGUCAUCUCAGUAAUGCAGCUAACGCAUUAAGUGUACCGCCUGGGGAGUACGGUCGCAAGAUUAAAACUCAAAGGAAUAGACGGGGACCCGCACAAGCGGUGGAGCAUGUGGUUUAAUUCGAAGAUACGCGAAGAACCUUACCUGGGCUUGAUAUCCUAAGAACCUUUUAGAGAUAAGAGGGUGCUAGCUUGCUAGAACUUAGAGACAGGUGCUGCACGGCUGUCGUCAGCUCGUGUCGUGAGAUGUUGGGUUAAGUCCCGCAACGAGCGCAACCCACGUAUUUAGUUGCUAACGGUUCGGCCGAGCACUCUAAAUAGACUGCCUUCGUAAGGAGGAAGAAGGUGUGGACGACGUCAAGUCAUCAUGGCCCUUAUGCCCAGGGCGACCNACGUGCUNNAUGGCANNNCCAUGNNACGC